rnacentral:tRNA from 1 species
GGGCGAGUGGCGGAAUUGGCUUACGCGCACGACUCAAAAUCGUGUGGUCUUUGACCAUGUGGGUUCGAAUCCCACCUCGCCCACCA